rnacentral:rRNA from 1 species
AGCGAACGCUGGCGGCAGGCUUAACACAUGCAAGUCGAACGGUCCUUCGGGAUAGUGGCGGACGGGUGAGUAACACGUGGGAACGUACCCUUAGGUUCGGAACAACACAGGGAAACUUGUGCUAAUACCGGAUAAGCCCUUCGGGGGAAAGAUUUAUCGCCUUUGGAGCGGCCCGCGUCUGAUUAGCUUGUUGGUGAGGUAAUGGCUCACCAAGGCUACGAUCAGUAGCUGGUCUGAGAGGAUGGCCAGCCACACUGGGACUGAGACACGGCGCAGACUCCUACGGGGGGCAGCAGUGGGGAAUCUUGCGCAAUGGGCGAAAGCCUGACGCAGCCAUGCCGCGUGGAUGAUGAAGGUCUUAGGAUUGUAAAAUCCCUUCACCGGGGACGAUAAUGACGGUACCCGGAGAAGAAGCCCCGGCUAACUUCGUGCCAGCCGCCGCGGUAA